GGAAUAUUGCACAAUGGGGGAAACCCUGAUGCAGCCAUGCCGCGUGUGUGAAGAAGGCCUUCGGGUUGUAAAGCACUUUCAGUGGGGAGGAAAGGUUUGCGGUUAAUACCCGUAAGCUGUGACGUUACCCACAGAAGCAGGACCGGCUCACUUCGUGCCAGCAGCCGCGGUAAUACGGAGGGUCCGACCGUUAAUCGGAAUUACUGGGCGUAAAGCGCACGCAGGCGGUUUGUUAAGCGAGAUGUGAAAGCCCCGGGCUCAAUCUGGGAAUCGCAUUUAGAACUGGCAGGCUAGAGUUUUGGAGAGGGGAGUGGAAUUCCAGGUGUAGCGGUGAAAUGCGUAGAUAUCUGGAGGAACAUCAGUGGCGAAGGCGACUCCCUGGUCAGUAACUGACGCUCAUGUGCGAAAGUGUGGGUAGCGAAC
rnacentral:rRNA from 1 species